UACGAAGGGGGCUAGCGUUGCUCGGAAUUACUGGGCGUAAAGGGCGCGUAGGCGGAUCGUUAAGUCAGAGGUGAAAGCCCAGGGCUCAACCCUGGAAUUGCCUUUGAUACUGGCGAUCUUGAGUACGGGAGAGGUGUGUGGAACUCCGAGUGUAGAGGUGAAAUUCGUAGAUAUUCGGAAGAACACCAGUGGCGAAGGCGACACACUGGCCCGUUACUGACGCUGAGGCGCGAAGCGUGGGGAGCAAACAGG
rnacentral:rRNA from 1 species